AUUGAACGCUGGCGGCAUGCUUUACACAUGCAAGUCGAACGGUAACAGGCCUUCGGGUGCUGACGAGUGGCGAACGGGUGAGUAAUGCAUCGGAACGUACCCAGAGGUGGGGGAUAACGCAGCGAAAGCUGUGCUAAUACCGCAUGUGAUCUGAGGAUGAAAGCGGGGGACCAAGCAGCAAUGUUUGGCCUCGCGCCUUUGGAGCGGCCGAUGUCGGAUUAGCUAGUUGGUGGGGUAAAGGCCUACCAAGGCGACAAUCCGUAGCUGGUCUGAGAGGACGACCAGCCACACUGGGACUGAGACACGGCCCAGACUCCUACGGGAGGCAGCAGUGGGGAAUUUUGGACAAUGGGCGCAAGCCUGAUCCAGCAAUGCCGCGUGCGGGAAGAAGGCCUUCGGGUUGUAAACCGCUUUUGGCAGGAACGAAACGGUGUCCGCUAAUACCGGGCGCUAAUGACGGUACCUGCAGAAUAAGCACCGGCUAACUACGUG
rnacentral:rRNA from 1 species